rnacentral:snRNA from 1 species
GGAUGAAAGGGUGAUCUGGCUGCGACAUCUAUCACCCCAUUGAUCAAAUUGAGUCAGGUGACCUGGCUGGCUAGGCAGGUGUCCCCUUCCUUCUUCACCACUCCAUGUGCAUCCCUCCCAAAGUUGCAUACUAGGUUGAAGAAAACAACCAUCCCUGAUCAAGAAAGACCAUUCUUCAGUCAAGAGUAUAUGAGUAGUUACACUCCCCUGCUAGAACCUCCAAACAAGCUCUCAAGAAUGUAGUCCUAAAAUAGGCCACUUGUAGGUCAUAGGAACUACAUAAACUUACCUGAGUAAAGAGAACAGCCAUACUUCAUUCUGAAGUCAUU